AUUAGACUACCCGGUAGUCCCAGCCGUAAACUAUGCGCGUUAGGUGUAUCGGUGACCACGAGUUACCGAGGUGCCGAAGGGAACCGUGAAACGUGCCGCCUGGGAAGUACGGCCGCAAGGCUGAAACUUAAAGGAAUUGGCGGGGAGCACCACAACAGGUGGAGCCUGCGGUUUAAUUGGACUCAACGCCGGGAAGCUCACCGGAUAGGACAGCAGAAUGAUUGCCGGGCUGAAGACCCUGCAUGACUAGCUG
rnacentral:rRNA from 1 species